rnacentral:rRNA from 1 species
UACAGAGGUCUCGAGCGUUGUUCGGAUUCAUUGGGCGUAAAGGGUGCGUAGGUGGCGCUGUAAGUCGGGUGUGAAAUUUCGGAGCUUAACUCCGAAACUGCAUUCGAUACUGCGGUGCUUGAGGACUGGAGAGGAGACUGGAAUUUACGGUGUAGCAGUGAAAUGCGUAGAUAUCGUAAGGAAGACCAGUGGCGAAGGCGGGUCUCUGGACAGUUCCUGACACUGAGACACGAAGGCCAGGGGAGCAAACGAG